rnacentral:rRNA from 1 species
AGCAGCCGCGGUAAUUCCAGCUCCAAUAGCGUAUAUUAAAGUUGUUGCAGUUAAAAAGCUCGUAGUUGAAUUUCGGGGUCAGUAGGCUGGUCGUGCCACUGGUACGUACUGGUCUCACUGAUUCCUCCUUCCUGAUGAACCGUAAUGCCAUUAAUUUGGUGUUGCGGGGAAACUGGGCUGUUACUUUGAAAAAAUUAGAGUGUUUAAAGCAGGCUAACGCUUGAAUACAUUAGCAUGGAAUAAUGAAAUAGGACGUUCGAUCCUAUUUUGUUGGUUUCUAGGAUUGACGUAAUGAUUAAUAGGGAUAGUUGGGGGCAUUAGUAUUCAAUUGUCAGAGGUGAAAUUCUUGGAUUUAUUGAAGACUAACUACUGCGAAAGCAUUUGCCAAGGAUGUUUUCAUUAAUCAAGAACGAAAGUUAGGGGAUCGAAGACGAUCAGAUACCGUCGUAGUCUUAACCAUAAACUAUGCCGACUAGGGAUCGGAUGAUGUUAAUUUUUAAUGACUCAUUCGGCGCCUUAC